rfam:Ipomoea nil DNA, scaffold: scaffold2147, cultivar: Tokyo-kokei standard.
CUGACCUUAGCUCAGUUGGUAGAGUGGUGGACUGUAGUUGGACUAAUCUAAAUUGGAAAUCCUUAGGUCGCUGGUUUGAUUCCGCAGGUUGGA